rnacentral:rRNA from 1 species
AUUGAACGCUGGCGGCAUGCCUUACACAUGCAAGUCGAACGGCAGCACGGGGGCAACCCUGGUGGCGAGUGGCGAACGGGUGAGUAAAGCAUCGGAACGUACCCGGAAGUGGGGAUAACGUAGCGAAAGUUACGCUAAUACCGCAUAUUCUGUGAGCAGGAAAGAGGGGGAUCGCAAGACCUCUCGCUUUCGGAGCGGCCGAUGUCGGAUUAGCUAGUUGGUGGGGUAAAGGCCUACCAAGGCGACGAUCCGUAG